GACCUGAUUAGGAUGACUGCGGCUUCUAGCUAUUGUCAUGGUACAAAAAAGAAGGCCGAUUAUUACAAAUCAUUUUUCAUAACUCCAGCAUCUCCCAAGAAGGACCACAUGAAGGCAUCAUUAACAAGGCCAGAGUGCUUCACUGAAGGUCAAGUCCAGAGCCAAAUGCUGACGCAACAUGACAAAGCAAAGUUAGUCCACAAUUCACACGUGAAGGCGAGGUCUGGUUAAAGAGUCACCACACAAAUGUAGUGAAGGUUCAGCUAAUGGCAGCCACAAGAACAAAUUCAGGAACAGCUUGCAGAUUACCCUUGGGCAAGGUGUAGCACCUGCUUCGUCCCUGUAUCAGGAUCACAUGAAGCGACGGGAGCAGGUGGUGGAUGGUCGUACGAGCAGCCGGUGCACGUCACAAGUCC